rnacentral:rRNA from 1 species
AUUGAACGCUGGCGGCAUGCUUUACACAUGCAAGUCGAACGGCAGCGCGGGCUUCGGCCUGGCGGCGAGUGGCGAACGGGUGAGUAAUGCAUCGGAACGUGCCCAGUAGUGGGGGAUAGCCCGGCGAAAGCCGGAUUAAUACCGCAUACGACCUGAGGGUGAAAGCGGGGGACCGAAAGGCCUCGCGCUAUUGGAGCGGCCGAUGUCGGAUUAGCUAGUUGGUGGGGUAAAGGCUUACCAAGGCGACGAUCCGUAGCUGGUCUGAGAGGACGACCAGCCACACGGGGAGUGAGCCGAGGCCCAGGCCCCGAGGGGAGGGAGGAGGGGGGAAUUUGGGAAAAGGGGGGAAACCCUGAACCAGGAAUGCCGGGGGGGGGAAGAAGGGCUGCGGGUGGUAAACCGCUUUUGUUGGGGAAAAAACCCUUUGGCCUAAAACCCGGGGGGGUGGCGGGAACGGGAAAAAAAGGAACCGGCUAACACGGG